rnacentral:rRNA from 1 species
UACGAAGGGGGCUAGCGUUGUUCGGAUUUACUGGGCGUAAAGCGCACGUAGGCGGAUCGUUAAGUCGGGGGUGAAAUCCUGGAGCUCAACUCCAGAACUGCCUUCGAUACUGGCGAUCUUGAGUCCGGAAGAGGUGAGUGGAACUGCGAGUGUAGAGGUGAAAUUCGUAGAUAUUCGCAAGAACACCAGUGGCGAAGGCGGCUCACUGGCCCGGUACUGACGCUGAGGUGCGAAAGCGUGGGGAGCAAACAGG